GGAAGUGUGUCGUGGGCUCGUGUGCGCGCUUGAAGUCGAGGUGCGUCCCUCUGUGACGCUAGCAACAAUGUCCCUCGGUUAGGCUUGUCCCUCGGAAAUGUGUUGGCUGUUGAGGCGCUGGAUUGGUCCCACGGUGCGGAGUCGGUAGUAGCGGCAUCCCACGGACGUUCCGAGGCUUCUACUGUGACAGGUCCUGCACGGAAGGAUGUGGUGCUUGGUGAAGUCCUUAGGGGCUCAAGCGCAAUCAUCCGGAAGUGUGUUGUGGGCUGGUUUUCAUGGUCGAAGUCAAGGUGCGGUGGUGUGGGACGCACGCAACAAUGCGAUCAGUCGGUGUAGGCUUGUCCCACGGAAAUAUGUGCGCACCUCGGGAAAUGUGUGCGCACCUCGGGAAAUAUGUGCGCACCUCGGGAAAUAUGUUGCCUGUGAGACCCUUUUCGCCAUGGAAGGACGUGGUGUUAGGUGAUGCCCUGAGGGCUGAGCCUGUUCGUCGGAAGUGCGUUGUGGGAGGAUUUGGCAGUCGGAUAAAUUUUGACCCUUUGUCCCUAUCGGUUUUGGCGGUUACCUUUUCUGUUCGCGCCCGACGUAGCGGAUCCGGCGGCACCAUGUGUUUCCAUUUGCUUGCUUGCCAUUGGCAUUGCGGGGAGUGGUCCGUGUGGUACCUUCGAGUCUGUCUAACGGGAGGGCGCGUGAGUGGCA
rnacentral:lncRNA from 1 species